rnacentral:rRNA from 1 species
CACCGCCGUAAACGAUGAAUACUAGGUGUCGGGGGGUACCACCCUCGGUGCCGCAGCAAACGCAUUAAGUAUUCCGCCUGGGGAGUACGGUCGCAAGAUUAAAACUCAAAGGAAUUGACGGGGACCCGCACAAGCAGCGGAGCAUGUGGUUUAAUUCGAAGCAACGCGAAGAACCUUACCUAGACUUGACAUCUCCUGAAUUACUCUUAAUCGAGGAAGUCCCUUCGGGGACAGGAAGACAGGUGGUGCAUGGUUGUCGUCAGCUCGUGUCGUGAGAUGUUGGGUUAAGUCCCGCAACGAGCGCAACCCUUAUUGUUAGUUGCUACUAUUAAGUUAAGCACUCUAACGAGACUGCCGCGGUUAACGUGGAGGAAGGUGGGGAUGACGUCAAAUCAUCAUGCCCCUUAUGUCUAGGGCUACACACGUGCUACAAUGGCUGGUACAACGAGCAGCAAACCCGUGAGGGGGAGCAAAACUUGAAAGCCAGUCCCAGUUCGGAUUGUAGGCUGAAACUCGCCUACAUGAAGUUGGAGUUGCUAGUAAUCGCGAAUCAGCAUGUCGCGGUGAAUACGUUCCCGGGGCUUGUACACACCGCCCGUCACACCAUGAGAGCCGGUAACACCCGAAGCCCGUGAGGUAACCGUAAGGAGCCAGCGGUCGAAGGUGGGAUUGGUGAUUGGGGUGAAGUCGUAACAAGGUAGCCGUAGGAGAACCUGCGGCUG